GUAUAAAUUUAUUAAAUAUGCUUAGUAACUGUCUACGGCCACACCUAGGCGAAAACACCAGUUCCCGUCCGAUCACUGCAGUUAAGCGUCUGAGGGCCUCGUUAGUACUAUGGUUGGAGACAACAUGGGAAUCCGGGGUGCUGUAGGCUCCUUUCUUUUUUUUUCGGAAUAUUAUUUUAUUCUUA